AGCUCCAAUAGCGUAUAUUAAAGCUGUUGCAGUUACAAAACUUGUAGUUGGAUUUCUAGCUGGAUUUCUAGCUGGAUUUCUAGCUGGGCAUAUGGGUCUACUCUUAUGAGUGUGCACUAUACAUGUCUGGCCACCCUUUGGGAGAGCCACAGUGGCAUUAAGUUGUUGGUGUGGGGAUUCCAAUCCUUUACUGUGAAGAAAUUAUAGUGCUCAAAGCAGGCUUACGCCGUUGAAUAUUUUAGGAUAUAAUAAUAACAUAGAACUAUUGUACUAUUUUGUUGGUUUGCGCACAAUAGUAACAAUUAAUAGGGACAGUUGGGGGUAUUUGUAUUCCAUUAUCAGAGGUGAAGUUCUUCGAUUUUUUUUAAAACAAACUACUGCAAAAGCAUUUAUCAAAGAUGUUUUUA
rnacentral:rRNA from 1 species